rnacentral:pre_miRNA from 1 species
AUCGAACUAGAAGGGCCAGGUUGUAUUUGUGCUUCUCCUGGCACUCCCUUGGUUUUUAU